rfam:Brachypodium distachyon strain Bd21 chromosome 3, whole genome shotgun sequence.
AAUCUACUUCCUCCGUUCCAUAAUUCUUGUCUCAAUUUUCCCAAAAAUAGAUGUAUCUAUUCCUAAAAGGCGUCUAGAUACAUGUAACAUUUCGACAAGAAUUAUGGAACGGAGGGAGUACAUC